GUCGUGGUUGCUUUUCUGGUAAUGGAYGUCAGUAAGUGUUGCCAUGAGGUAUUUCUUUCUUGUAAUUUCUGAAUUUCUGAGAGAUUAAAACUACAGUGUGGCGUAUUCUUACAAUUUUGCAUUUAUGCCAUGGAAUCAAUUUGGUCAGACAGCACUUUAUGGGGAAGAAGUUUCUAAUUUUUAAAAGUCUUUUAUGGAUUAAUUGCUAGUCAUCUGCCUCCUUUUUGCUUUUGUUUGGUUUCUUGAAUGUCUCUUGAUUAUUUUGUGCUAUGUGAUGCCAAUUUAGUGGUUAACUAGUAUGCAAACUACAUCUGGACGUGUUGACUUUGCAUUAACAAUCAUUGAUUUGUCUGGAGCAAGGGAAUAGAAAUGAAUGAUGCUGUUUACCAUGUAUAGUAUAUGAAAAAUAACCGUUUGCAGUGUAUCUUUUAUCAGUGGCACACUGCUUUGGUGCAACUUGUCACAGUGACUGUGCCUCAUCAGCUGUCAUGUGAGAGCUGAAUUUUUAAGUCAUAGCGGAAGGAGUGGGAAGAGAGAGACACAGGAAAGCAACUGCAGGUGUUGUAUGGUGAAGGUGUUGACCAGCAGUUGAUUUUCUGCAAAGAUUGUGGCUCAAGGAGCAUGGUUGGCCUUUUGGAAGGAGGAGAGUUUGGUGCCUCCUGUCCGCACGUUGUAGUGAAGGAAGUUGAGACCUACUCAUAGCUGUUCUGUGUGUAGGUGGACCGAAAUGAACCUUGGAUCAGAUCAGCACAGAGUUGCAGGCUGGCUGGCCUUGUCAGAUGGAGACAGGACUCGUGGAUGAUGGAGUUGUUACCUCUGGAGAAGCUGGAGGCGACAUGGCCCAUUUGGGGCAAAACUACAGCGCUUUUGGUGACAUACUGUGCUCCAGGACUGGACAUAACACAGCAGACCAGCAUUUGCAAGGGCUGAAACCAAAGCCACAAGAGAUCUAUCACUAGCUUCAAAUUAAAUUCACCAAAGGCGAUUUUAUUUUUAUCGAUUUACCAACAAACUAGUUAUUUAAGAAAUGACUGGCUGCUGCUGUUGGUCAUUUCUGGAUGACCAGUUCGCCUUGUGUCACAUGGUUUAAUGAUUGCAUAUUUUAUGCUAGUUAAAUAGUGCUCCACAAGGAAACAAGAGAAAACCACACUGGGAUAAUCUAAGAAAAACAAGAAUUAUAAAAAUGGCUCUCUCUCAGCUGACUGCUGGAAGCUAAACCUAUUUUGUGGGUUUGUUGCUGCACCUUUUCUUCAAAAAAUCAGAGUGGUUGUCCCACUCGUUUUCUCAGCAGAUGGACUACUCCGUUGCAAGCACGUUCACCAGUCUGGAAACUAAUUAUGUCUGUUGGCCUUGUCUUGAUUUGCACUUCUAUUAGUGUGCUCUUAAAUAUUACUCCCUUUACAAGAAGACUUGACAGAUUAGUUCCCCUUUAAAGAAGAAAAAAAAAAAAACCCCACCCAAGCCACAAAAACAUUUCUUAAAAAAAGCCGUUUCAUUUCAAAAUGUUUCAAAAGCUGUUCUAAAAUGACCUUAAAAUUAAGGUUAUUGGUGCAAAUGCAAAAAGAAAUUUAAAAUAAUAUUACUGAUUCGUAAUAAAAUAGAGUAUUCCUU
rnacentral:lncRNA from 1 species